GCUUACGGCCAUACCAGCCUGGGUACGCCCGAUCUCGUCUGAUCUCGGAAGCUAAGCAGGGUCGUGCCUGGUUAGUACUUGGAUGGGAGACCGCCUGGGAAUACGAGGUGCUGUAAGCA
rnacentral:rRNA from 1 species